GUUGUUUGGCCGAGCGGUCUAAGGCGCCUGAUUCAAGAUUUAGAGCUCCGGUUCGAAUCUUGUGUGCAGCA